CCGCCUCCCACGUGCGGGUGCUCCUCUCCCAGAGCUCACCAGUCCUUCCAGCAGUCCUCAGGUUGCACGCGACCAGCAGUGGACUUUACUGAGUAGGGGUGGGAAGCCGGUGGCUCCGGGCAGCCGUGAUAACCCGGCACAGAAGCAGAGUCGCAUUUCGGAGCGUCCACCCGUAACCUGGCUUCUCGCACAUGGAGCCCAUAGUCCAGGAGAGAGAAGGCCAGGGCGGCCCUGGAGAGGUUGUAGGUGCAGGCGGAUCGGCGGCGGAGACCCCUUCGUGCUCAGGAAGGCACUCAUGCACUUGGUUCUGCUGUAGACUCCACUCUCUUCAGUACCACAACAGGACUACUUAUUCCUUAGGCGAUGUACAGCCAAACAAGGUGACUAGCUGCCUGCCAGGAGACCUUAUUAAAAGAUUUCAUUUCUUCGCAUCCAGCUCUGUUUCCUGAGGCAUUUGCAAACCAAUUCAGCACUAUGGAAAAACAAGUCCAGGAAAGAAAUGUUUUAAAAGCUGGCACAUCAAGCUGGGUACAAUGUCUCAUACCUGCACUUGGAAAUCUGAAGCAGGAGGAAGGCGGAAAGGCUUGGGCUACAAGUGAGACUGUCUCAGAAAACAAAAAAACAAACAAAUUACUCCCCCCCCCAUCCCCCAGAAAACCAAAACCAAAACAGAAAGUAAAAGAAUAACAUGAUGUCCUGGUGUCAGUGGCUCUUGGAUCUCUCUAGUUUUCUCUAUUUUGACAAUAUCAACAAACUAAUUCCUUAGAACCACCAUGUGGCAAUGUGACUUGCAGAUGCCUCAGAAAUGGGCUACUGUGUGGUAUCUCGGUAGAGGAUUCGUAUGAUUUCUUUCAUGACUGUACAUGCUUUCCUUCUUAAUGCUUUGGCUUUGCCUACUUACUAGAAGUGUUCAAUGGCACACAGAUGCUUUCUCUGUACUGUCUAUUCUCACUCAGUCUAGUUCCGCAUUUGAUGUUGGUGUCUUCUCCAGACACCAAUGCCACAGAGUGUUGACAUAGGCAAAGUUCAUCUGUAGAAGAUCCUUUCCAUAGCCUGAGUGUUGCCAAGGCUUUCUUAGGAAAAGCCUUCCAAAUGUUAGAGGCCCGGAGUUUUAGCAUGAGUGUCUUGUCAAAUAAUCUCAAUAAAGAGAAUCAUUGUCCCAAGGAUUAACAGUGAUACUCCUUCUAUUGCCUAUCCCAGCUAUCUUAUGAAAGGGAUCAUAGUAAUUAUUUUCUUUGUGUUAUUAGGAGCCUAGUUCUGUUUCCUAGCACACUACAGCUUUAUAUUGUGCUUAAAUGUCUUUGGGUAAAUGCCUGUCCACGUGAUCACUCAUCAUUGUAGGCCUUGCAUCUGGGCUGGCCGUGACAUCCAUAGUCAGAGCUGGGUGAGGCUCUUCUUCAAGGAGGGACGUUACAAGGAUACUGC
rnacentral:lncRNA from 1 species